GCUCGGCUGGUCUAGAGGUAUGAUACCUGCUUUGGGUGCAGGUGGUCCCCAGUUCGAUCCUGGGGUCGGGCC
rnacentral:tRNA from 1 species